GUUUGGGUUUGUUAAUUUGUCAUUCUCUUUCUCUUCAUCUUGUCCACUGCUGAAAUCCGUUUGAAUUGGAGGAAACGUGGGCAGUAGCAACGAGCAGCAUGAACGAGAAGGCCAACGUCUCCAAGGAGCUCAAUGCUAAGCA